rnacentral:rRNA from 1 species
UUAUUUAAAAUAUUAUGUUUAUUAUUUGUUUAUGAAUUAUUUAAUAGAAGUAAUUUUAUUUUUUUAUUGUUUUAGUAUAUUUUGUAGAACUGAUUAUUUAUAUUAUAGUUUAUUGGUAAUGUAAGUGGCUUAUGAAAUAUUUUUAAAAUAGAUUAAAGUAGAUUUAAUUUAUUGUACCUUUUGUAUCAGGGUUUAUUAAAAUUUUAGUAAUUAUUUGCUUGUCUCGAUUUAGGUUGAUUUAUAACCAAUUUAUAGUUAAUGUGUUAUAAUUAUUAUUGAGUUAGUUAUAGAAAUGAAAUGUUAGUCGUUUCCUAAGAUAUCUAGUUUUUCAAGAAGAAAUUUAAUUUUUUAUAGUUAAUGUUUUAAUUAAUUUUUUAAUACAGAAUAUUAACUAAUUUAUUCUUAGGGGAUAAGCUUUAAAGAUUAUAACCUAUAAUUUGAAAUUUAAAAUGUAAUAGUAAGCUUUAAACCAGCUAUCUUUAAGAUUACGUUUUAGUUCAUUAUUUUUUGUUCUGAUUUUAUAAUUAAUUUAGGUUUAAUAUUGGGAUUAUUAAUUUAAUUUUAAAAUUUAUGUAAUAAUGAUGGAAUUAGUAUAUUUGUUUGUUUAAAGUAUUUUCUUUUUAGAAUUUAUUUUAAGGAACUAGGCAAUACUGAUUUCCGCCUGUUUAUCAAAAACAUGUCCUCUUGUUUAAUAUUUUGAGGUCUGGCCUGCUCACUGACCUGUUUUGAAGAGCCGCGGUAUUUUGACCGUGCAAAGGUAGCAUAAUCAUUAGUCUCUUAAUUAGAGGCUGGAAUGAAUGGCUUGACGAGAAAUCAACUGUCUCUUUAUAAAUUAUAUAAUUUAACUUUUAAGUUAAAAGGCUUAAAUUAUUCUUUAGGACGAGAAGACCCUAUAGAGCUUAACAUUUUACUUUUAUAUAGUUUUUAGUUGGUCUUUCUAUAUUUAAUGUUAAUGUUUUGUUGGGGUGACAUGAAGAAUAAUUAAACUCUUCAUUAUAAAAUCAUUGAUUUAUGUUUAUUAUGAUCCAUAAUUUAUGAUCACAAGAUUAAGUUACCUUAGGGAUAACAGCGUAAUUGUUUUUGAGAGCUCAUAUCGAUAAAGCAGAUUGCGACCUCGAUGUUGGAUUAAGAAAAAUAUUGGGUGUAGUAGUUCAAUAAUUAGGUCUGUUCGACCUUUAAAUUCUUACAUGAUCUGAGUUCAGACCGGCGUGAGCCAGGUCGGUUUCUAUCCUAAGACAUAUUAUCUGUAUUAGUACGAAAGGACCAUAUGGGUUAAAUAUUUUUUAAUUCAUUGAUUAAAAUUAAUAU